CCUACGGGAGGCUGCAGUGAGGAAUAUUGGUCAAUGGACGGAAGUCUGAAGCAGCCAUGCCGCGUGCACGAAGACGUCUCUAUGAGUUGUAAACUGCUUUUGCACAAGGGUAAACCUGAAUAUGUGUAUUUAGCUGACACUACUGUACGAAUAAGCAUCGGCCAACUACGUGCCAGCAGACGCGGUAAUACGGAGGUUUCAAGCGUUAUCCGGAUUUAUUGGGUUUAAAGGGUGCGUAGGCGGAUUGAUAAGUUAGAGGUGAAAUGUCCGCGCUUAACUCGGGGACUGCCUCUAAUACUGUUGAUCUAGAGAGUAGGUGCGGUAGGCGGAAUGUAUGGUGUAGCGGUGAAAUGCUUAGAGAUCAUGCAGAACACCGAUUGCGAAGGCAGCUUACCAGUCUAUAUCUGACGUUGAGGCACGAAAGCGUGGGGAGCAAACAGGAUUAGAUACCCCGGUAGUC
rnacentral:rRNA from 1 species